rnacentral:rRNA from 1 species
UACAGAGGUCUCAAGCGUUGUCCGGAAUCAUUGGGCGUAAAGCGCGUGUAGGCGGCUCGGAAAGUCUGAUGUGAAAUCUUGAGGCUCAACCUCAAGCUGUCAUUGGAAACUAACGGGCUCGAGUCCGGAAGAGGAGAGGUGGAAUUCCUGGAUGUAGCGGUGGAAGUGACGCAGAUAUCAGGAGGAACACCCAUGGCGAAGGCAGCCCUCUGGUACGUGACUGACGCUGAGACGCGAAAGCGUGGGGAGCAAACAGG